CCUACGGGUGGCAGCAGUGAGGAAUAUUGGUCAAUGGGCGGGAGCCUGAACCAGCCAAGCCGCGUGAGGGAAGAAGGUACAGCGUAUCGUAAACCUCUUUUGUCAGGGAACAAAGGCGGGGACUAGUCCCCGUAUGAGGGUACCUGAAGAAAAAGCAUCGGCUAACUCCGUGCCAGCAGCCGCGGUAAUACGGAGGAUGCGAGCGUUAUCCGGAUUUAUUGGGUUUAAAGGGUGCGCAGGCGGCCUGUUAAGUCAGCGGUAAAAGCCCGGGGCUCAACCGCGCCGAGCCGUUGAAACUGGCGAGCUGGAGUUGGAUAGAGGUACGCGGAAUGCGCGGUGUAGCGGUGAAAUGCGUAGAUAUCGCGCAGAACCCCGAUUGCGAAGGCAGCGUACCGGCUCCACACUGACGCUGAGGCACGAAAGCGUGGGUAUCGAACAGGAUUAGAUACCCCUGUAGUC
rnacentral:rRNA from 1 species